AUGGGCGGCGCCGCCGCCAAGCAUGGUGCUAUGACGAUGACCGCCGUCUACUACCACGACAUCAGCCUAUCUACUUACCUCAGUCGCAACGCCAAGCUCAGCUCCAUCAUCAACGCCAUGGCCAACUCUCACCAAUUCAGGCUUUCCCUGGACUGGGAACUCGUGAGGAGAAAGGCGUCGUUGGUGGUCUACGAAUUGCUUCUUGAGUCUCCAGAGUUGAGACGCCUGCUAAUACUGCCGCGGGAGACACUGAACCCGCAACAACUGCUUCCCAUCGGCUCUCGUCGUUCAAGACGUCACGUGAGGAAACAAGCCCGGCGGCCAACAUCAACUGCCAUGGCCAGGCUCUAUCUCAACACCAAGAGGAGGUACCUACGCUACAAGUACAACACGCAUGUUCAGUUCAGAAAGCUCACAUCCUGCACUGUUAGCAGAGUCUUUGAAGAGGGUGGCAGAUCUUAUCGAUCAAUGUUUAAGAAGUGGUAA
rnacentral:rRNA from 1 species